UAGCCUUGACAUACUACAGAAUUUGACAGAGAUGUUGGAGUGCCUUCGGGAGCUGUAAUACAGGUGCUGCACGGCUGUCGUCAGCUCGUGUCGUGAGAUGUUGGGUUAAGUCCCGCAACGAGCGCAACCCUCGUCCUUAGUUACUAACGGUUCGGCCGAGGACUCUAAGGAGACUGCCUUCGUAAGGAGGAGGAAGGUGAGGACGACGUCAAGUCAUCAUGGCCCUUACGGCUAGGGCAACACACGUGCUACAAUGGUUAGGACAAUGAGAAGCGAUACCGCGAGGUGGAGCAAAUCUAUAAACCUAAUCUCAGUUCGGAUAGCAGUCUGCAACUCGACUGCUUGAAGCUGGAAUCACUAGUAAUCGUAAAUCAGCUAUGUUACGGUGAAUACGUUCCCGGGUCU
rnacentral:rRNA from 1 species